rnacentral:rRNA from 1 species
UACAGGGGGGGCAAGCGUUGUUCGGAAUUACUGGGCGUAAAGGGCGCGUAGGCGGCCACCGCAAGUCGACUGUGAAAUCUCCGGGCUUAACCCGGAAAGGUCAGCCGAUACUGCGGGGCUAGAGUGCAGAAGGGGCAACUGGAAUUCUCGGUGUAGCGGUGAAAUGCGUAGAUAUCGAGAGGAACACCUGCGGCGAAGGCGGGUUGCUGGGCUGACACUGACGCUGAUGCGCGAAAGCUAGGGGAGCGAACGGG